rnacentral:rRNA from 1 species
AGUGAACGCUGGCGGUAGGCCUAACACAUGCAAGUCGAACGGCAGCACAGUAAGAGCUUGCUCUUACGGGUGGCGAGUGGCGGACGGGUGAGGAAUACAGCGGAAUCUACUUUUUCGUGGGGGAUAACGUAGGGAAACUUACGCUAAUACCGCAUACGACCUACGGGUGAAAGCAGGGGAUCUUCGGACCUUGCGCGAUUGAAUGAGCCGAUGUCGGAUUAGCUAGUUGGCGGGGUAAAGGCCCACCAAGGCGACGAUCCGUAGCUGGUCUGAGAGGAUGGUCAGCCACACUGGAACUGAGACACGGUCCAGACUCCUACGGGAGGAAGCAGUGGGGAAUAUUGGACAAUGGGCGCAAGCCUGAUCCAGCCAUACCGCGUGGGUGAAGAAGGCCUUCGGGUUGUAAAGCCCUUUUGUUGGGAAAGAAAAGCAGCAGGUUAAUACCCCGCUGUUCUGACGGUACCCAAAGAAUAAGCACCGGCUAACUUCGUG